rnacentral:RNase_P_RNA from 2 species
GGGAGAGAGAGCCCGGCUGCCGCGAUGACCGUGCCGGCGACGGCGCGGUCACCAUGGGACGGCGCGACUCGACGUCGCGUCGUCCCCCCACGUUGCCCGUCCCUCCGGGACGCGCAACGCUCGCGAGGAAAGUCCCCCCACCCGUUCGGGCGGGUGACCGGACGCAAGUCCGGAGCGGGAGACCGCUGGCUCUGGAACAGAAACGACACGUCUCGGCCCGACCGAUGAGGCGCGCGACCCCGACCGCGAGGAAGGGAAGCUAACCCGCCGAGGGACGCGCGGUCCAACGGACCGCGAAACGUGAGACGGCGCGAGCCGUCGAGCAGGCGACUCGAGCGCCAGAGGCGCUCGAGUCGCCGACAGACGAGGCGGUGCAAACCGCCGAGUCGCGUGUGGUCGCACACACGUGGUUCGAAUCCGCGGACCGCGCGAUUCACGUCGACUGGCGCGGUCGACCACACACAGACGGCCGAGGAUCGAUGGAACGGCGAACCCUCACCGGUGCAAGUCCGUGCCGUGGUAGCCCGAACGCCCCGCGAUUUCGCGGACGGCACGGACGCUCAGCCGAAUGCCGGAUCGAACAGAAGGGGGCUUACUCCUCUCACCC